rnacentral:SRP_RNA from 2 species
GCCGGGCGCGGUGGUUCACGCCUGUAAUCCCAGCACUUUGGGAGGCCGAGGCGGGUGGAUCACCUGAGGUCAGGAGUUCGAGACCAGCCUGACCAAUAUGGUGAGACCCCAUCUCUA